rnacentral:rRNA from 1 species
UAGGGAAUCUUCCGCAAUGGACGAAAGUCUGACGGAGCAACGCCGCGUGAGUGAAGAAGGAUUUCGGUUCGUAAAACUCUGUUGUUAGGGAAGAAAAAAUGUAUAGUAACUAUAUACAAAAGAGACGGUACCUAACCAGAAAGCCACGGCUAACUACGUGCCAGCAGCCGCGGUAAUACGUAGGUGGCAAGCGUUGUCCGGAAUUAUUGGGCGUAAAGCGCGCGCAGGUGGUUUAGAAAGUCUGAUGUGAAAGCCCACGGCUCAACCGUGGAGGGUCAUUGGAAACUAAUAAACUUGAGUGCAGGAGAGAAAAGUGGAAUUCCUAGUGUAGCGGUGAAAUGCGUAGAGAUUAGGAGGAACACCGGUGGCGAAGGCGACUUACUGGGCUCAUUCUGACGCUGAGGAACGAAAGCGUGGGUAGCAAACAGG